rnacentral:rRNA from 1 species
CCUACGGGAGGCAGCAGUGGGGAAUUUUGGACAAUGGGGGCAACCCUGAUCCAGCCAUGCCGCGUGUAUGAAGAAGGCCUUCGGGUUGUAAAGUACUUUUGUUCGGGAAGAAAAGGAGGGUGCUAAUACCACCCUUUGCUGACGGUACCGAAAGAAUAAGCACCGGCUAACUACGUGCCAGCAGCCGCGGUAAUACGUAGGGUGCGAGCGUUAAUCGGAAUUACUGGGCGUAAAGCGAGCGCAGAUGGUUAUUUAAGCAGGAUGUGAAAUCCCCGGGCUCAACCUGGGAACUGCGUUCUGAACUGGAUAGCUAGAGUGUGUCAGAGGGGGGUAGAAUUCCACGUGUAGCAGUGAAAUGCGUAGAGAUGUGGAGGAAUACCGAUGGCGAAGGCAGCCCCCUGGGAUAACACUGACGUUCAUGCUCGAAAGCGUGGGUAGCAAACAGGAUUAGAUACCCCAGUAGUC